rnacentral:ncRNA from 1 species
GGUGGUAACGGGUAACGGGGAAUCAGGGUUCGAUAUCACGGAGAGGGAGCCUGAGAAACGGCUACCACAUCCAAGGAAGGCAGCAGGCGCGCAAAUUACCCACUCCCGGAACGGGGAGGUAGUGACGAAAAAUAACGAUACGGGACUCAUCCGAGGCCCCGUAAUCGGAAUGAGAACACUUUAAAACCUUUAAACGAGGAUCAAUUGGAGGGCAAGUCUGGUGCCAGCAGCCGCGGUAAUUCCAGCUCCAAUAGCGUAUAUUAAAGUUGUUGCGGUUAAAAAGCUCGUAGUCGGAUCUGUGUCUGGACGGUGCCGGACCACCCUGGCGGUCCGUCGUGUCGCGGCCGGCCGUGUCGCGGGACCACGUGUCCCGUCGGCGCGGUCGCCGUCGCGCUCGUCAGCCGUCUCGGGGUGUUAGUUACCGGCACGUCGGCCGGACGUAUUGUCGGCAGGCGGACACGUGUCUCGUGCUUCCGGCGCGCCGCGCGGCCACGCGUCGCGCGGCCGUCGGUGUUCGACGACGGCGGCCGCCUACUCCAAUCUUGCUGCGCGGUGCUCUUCACCGAGUGCCGUCGGCGGGCCGACACGUUUACUUUGAACAAAUUAGAGUGCUCAAAGCAGGCUCGAAUCUGGCGGGGCGGCUUCACGGCCGUCUCGUCAAAAGGCCCUGAAUACUGGUCGCAUGGAAUAAUGGAACAAGACCUCGGUCCCGCGCAUCUCCG